rnacentral:rRNA from 1 species
GACGAACGCUGGCGGCGUGCCUAAUACAUGCAAGUCGAACGCUGAAGGAGGAGCUUGCUUCUCUGGAUGAGUUGCGAACGGGUGAGUAACGCGUAGGUAACCUGCCUGGUAGCGGGGGAUAACUAUUGGAAACGAUAGCUAAUACCGCAUAAGAGUAGAUGUUGCAUGACAUUUGCUUAAAAGGUGCAAUUGCAUCACUACCAGAUGGACCUGCGUUGUAUUAGCUAGUUGGUGGGGUAACGGCUUACCAAGGCGACGAUACAUAGCCGACCUGAGAGGGUGAUCGGCCACACUGGGACUGAGACACGGCCCAGACUCCUACGGGAGGCAGCAGUAGGGAAUCUUCGGCAAUGGACGGAAGUCUGACCGAGCAACGCCGCGUGAGUGAAGAAGGGUUUCGGAUCGUAAAGCUCUGUUGUAAGAGAAGAAAGAGUGUGAGAGUGGAAAGUUCACACUGUGACGGUAGCCUAACAGAAAGGGACGGCUAACUACGUG